AUGAAGAUUCGAUUCCUGCCUUUAGACUUGCUAAUUUUAUGAUCUUGGGACUUGUUAUCACCUGGCUCAAAUUGACUUAUACAAAACAAACAAAAAGACUGACAUUACAUAAAGCUAGAUCCAGAGGUUCAAAUGAUGUUAGAGGAUGCAGGACUUUCUUUCCAUCAGGAAGAACAGGAGAGAGGAGCUAGUAUUCACUGGAAUGGAGGUAACUCUCAGGGUGAUCUUGGAAGUUAUAUACUGAAGACAGCAAAACCACUUACCCUGGUUUCCUGGAUGACUGUAUGGAGCAGGACCUCCUCCCACCCAUCCUUUGUGCCCACCCAUCCCAACUGAUUUGGAACAACCAUGGACUGUUAUGUGAGCAAGAAAUAAUCUUCUGUUGUGUGGACCCACUAUGUAUUUGGU